rnacentral:rRNA from 1 species
AUGUUUGGAGAAGCCACGGGCCUGAAGAUAAAUCGUCAGAAAUCAACUGCAACCCCGAUUCGUUGUGAAACAGUUGACAUUCAGCAGGUGUUGCAAAGUUUUGGGGGCACCGUGGCCAAUUUCCCGAUGAAGUACCUGGGGUUGCCGCUCACCCUCACCAGAACCAGGAUCGUGCACCUCCGGUUCGUCCUUGACCGGAUUAGGGCACGGUUGGCAGGGUGGAAAGGAAAGCUCAUGGCUAUCGCUGGCAGGCGGGUGCUAGUCCGAGCUGUUCUAAGCACAAUUCCUACCUUUGCUCUCACUGUGCUUCGUAUGCCGAAAAAAUUUCUCAAGGAUAUUGACAAGGUGCGGCGGCGUUUCCUCUGA